rnacentral:rRNA from 1 species
GAACGCUAGCUACAGGCUUAACACAUGCAAGUCGAGGGGAAACGAUAGAGAAAGCUUGCUUUUUCUAGGCGUCGACCGGCGCACGGGUGAGUAACGCGUAUCCAACCUGCCCACCACUUGGGGACAACAGUUCGAAAGGACUGCUAAUACCGAAUGUUGUAGAGUUUCCGCAUGGGAAUCCUACUAAAGGUGGCCUCUACUUGUAAGCUAUCGCUUUACGAUGGGUCUGCGUCUGAUUAGCUAGUUGGUGGGGUAACGGCCUACCAAGGCGACGAUCAGUAGCCGGUCUGAGAGGAUGAACGGCCACAUUGGAACUGAGACACGGUCCAGACUCCUACGGGAGGCAGCAGUGGGGAAUCUUCCGCAAUGGGCGCAAGCCUGACGGAGCAACGCCGCGUGAGUGAAGAAGGGUUUCGACUCGUAAAGCUCUGUUGUCGGGGACGAAUGUGGAGAUGGUGAAUAACCAUUUCCAAUGACGGUACCUGACGAGGAAGCCACGGCUAACUACGUG